rnacentral:lncRNA from 1 species
GCGGAGCCGCGUCUGACGCGGCAGCCCCCCAGGCUUCGGCUCAGCUCUCCUGUUCCUCAGUCUCGAUAUUUGAAGAUAUGGAAAAAGAUGAUUUUUAGAAAAGAUCAUAGGUCUUUAAAGAGAUGAGUUAUGGCAGUUUUGCUUCAUGUUUGGGACUGAUGGAAAGUCAGGAGUGGAGAAGGUUUGGGCCACAGAUGGGAUUGAUGAGUCUGGCUGUUCAAACACAGUCCAUACAGACUCCACAGAAGGUCAGUGAGACAAAAGGCAGAGGGCCUCAGUUACUGCUGUGGGCAAUACUCAAUCAAAAGCAAGAGUGGAGAGCACAGCAGACAGUCUACCACGAUGCUUGGAUCUCACUACCAACAGAAAUCUACCUCUACCACAGGAGAAGAAAAUCGCCAUCUCUGAAGCCCCAGGCACCUGCUAUGGGCUUGCUUCCAAUCUGGGGAAGAUAUGAACACUAAAUUGGGAGAUUUCAGAUGUAUUCAAGACCCAGAAAAGAUAUGUAGACUCUUCAUGUAGUAACAGUAAAGGCUUUGUAAAUAUGUAUCUUUUAAAUCGCAAAAAUAAUCAUGUUUGCAAUUGCUUGUUUUAUUCUCUGUCUCUCCUAUUUGCUUUCACUGAGUGGGCAGGGAUCCUGUCUGUCUUGGUCAACAUAUCUCCAGCAUCCUGGAUGGUGCUUGGCCAGUGGUUAGCCCUCAGUAAUAUUCUUCAGUGGAAGAAGAGCCAUUGUUGAAAUUUGGAAAAUAUAUCUGAGUACAAAGAAGACAAUAAAACAUCAUCCAUAAUCAGACU